CAGUAGCCGCGGUAAUACGGAGGGAGCUAACGUUGUUCGGAAUUACUGGGCGUAAAGCGCGCGUAGGCGGUUACUCAAGUCAGAGGUGAAAGCCCGGGGCUCAACCCCGGAACUGCCUUUGAAACUAGGUGACUAGAAUCUUGGAGAGGUCAGUAGAAUUCCGAGUGUAGAGGUGAAAUUCGUAGAUAUUCGGAAGAACACCAGUGGCGAAGGCGACUGACUGGACAAGUAUUGACGCUGAGGUGCGAAAGCGUGGGGAGCAAACAGGAUUAGAUACCCCCGUAGUCCCUGUCUCUUAUAC
rnacentral:rRNA from 1 species